UUCCGGUUGAUCCUGCCGGACCUGACUGCUAUCGGAUUGAUACUAAGCCAUGCGAGUCAUUGUAGCAAUACAAGGCAGACGGCUCAGUAACGCGUAGUCAACCUACCCUAUGGACGGGAAUAACCUCGGGAAACUGAGUAUAAUGCCCGAUAGAACACUAUACCUGGAAUGGUUUGUGUUUCAAAUGAUUUAUUGCCGUAGGAUGGGACUGCGGCCUAUCAGUUUGUUGGUGAGGUAAUGGCCCACCAAGACUAUUACAGGUACGGGCUCUGAGAGGAGUGGCCCGGAGAUGGGUACUGAGACACGGACCCAGGCCCUAUGGGGCGCAGCAGGCGAGAAAACUUUGCAAUGUGCGAAAGCACGACAAGGUUAAUCCGAGUGGUUUCUGCUAAAGAAACCUUUUGACAGUCCUAGAAACACUGUUGAAUAAGGGGUGGGCAAGUUCUGGUGUCAGCCGCCGCGGUAAAACCAGCACCUCAAGUGGUCAGGAUGAUUAUUGGGCCUAAAACAUCCGUAGCCGGCUCAGUAAGUUUUCGGUUAAAUCUGUACGCUCAACGUACAGGCUGCCGGGAAUACUGCAGAGCUAGGGAGUGGGAGAGGUAGACGGUACUCGGGAGGAAGUGGUAAAAUGCUUUGAUCUUUCGAUGACCACCUGUGGCGAAGGCGGUCUACCAGAACACGUCCGACGGUGAGGGAUGAAAGCUGGGGGAGCAAACCGGAUUAGAUACCCGGGUAGUCCCAGCUGUAAACUAUGCAAACUCAGUGAUGCAUUGGCUUGUGGCCAAUGCAGUGUUGCAGGGAAGCCGUUAAGUUUGCCGCCUGGGAAGUACGUACGCAAGUAUGAAACUUAAAGGAAUUGGCGGGGGAGCACCACAAGGGGUGAAGCCUGCGGUUCAAUUGGAGUCAACGCCGGG
rnacentral:rRNA from 1 species